UACGGAGGGGGCAAGCGUUGUUCGGAAUUAUUGGGCGUAAAGAGUAUGUAGGCGGCUGGAUAAGUCAAGCGUGUAAGCCCACGGCUCAACCGUGGAAUUGCGUUUGAAACUAUUCAGCUUGAGUACAGGAGAGGAAGGCGGAAUUCCCAGUGUAGCGGUGAAAUGCAUUGAUAUUGGGAAGAACACCGGUGGCGAAGGCGGCCUUCUGGGCCGUGAUCGACGCUGGGGAGCGAAAGCUAGGGGAGCAAACAGG
rnacentral:rRNA from 1 species